GGUGGAUGAUGUGGUUUAAUUCGAUGCAACGCGAAAAACCUUACCUACCCUUGACAUGUACGGAAGUCCCCAGAGAUGGAGACGUGCCCGAAAGGGAACCGUAACACAGGUGCUGCAUGGCUGUCGUCAGCUCGUGUCGUGAGAUGUUGGGUUAAGUCCCGCAACGAGCGCAACCCUUGCCAUUAGUUGCUACAUUCAGUUGAGCACUCUAAUGGGACUGCCGGUGACAAACCGGAGGAAGGUGGGGAUGACGUCAAGUCCUCAUGGCCCUUAUGGGUAGGGCUACACACGUCAUACAAUGGCGGAUACAGAGGGUUGCCAACCCGCGAGGGGGAGCUAAUCUCAGAAAGUCCGUCGUAGUCCGGAUUGCAGUCUGCAACUCGACUGCAUGAAGUCGGAAUCGCUAGUAAUCGCGGAUCAGCAUGUCGCGGUGAAUACGUUCCCGGGCCUUGUACACACCGCCCGUCACACCAUGGGAGUGGGGUUCACCAGAAGCAGGUUGCCUAACCGCAAGGAGGGCGCCUACCACGGUGAGCUUCAUGACUGGGGUGAAGUCGUAACAAGGUAACCAAGGGCGAAUUCUGCAGAUAUCCAUCACACUGGCGGCCGCUCGAGCAUGCAUCUAGAGGG
rnacentral:rRNA from 1 species